GACGAACGCUGGCGGCGUGCUUAGCACAUGCAAGUCGAACGGAAAGGCCCUGCUUUUGUGGGGUGCUCGAGUGGCGAACGGGUGAGUAACACGUGAGUAACCUGCCCUUGACUUUGGGAUAACUUCAGGAAACUGGGGCUAAUACCGGAUAGGAGCUCCUGCUGCAUGGUGGGGGUUGGAAAGUUUCGGCGGUUGGGGAUGGACUCGCGGCUUAUCAGCUUGUUGGUGGGGUAGUGGCUUACCAAGGCUUUGACGGGUAGCCGGCCUGAGAGGGUGACCGGCCACAUUGGGACUGAGAUACGGCCCAGACUCCUACGGGAGGCAGCAGUGGGGAAUAUUGCACAAUGGGCGGAAGUCUGAUGCAGCAACGCCGCGUGCGGGAUGACGGCCUUCGGGUUGUAAACCGCUUUCGCCUGUGACGAAGCGUGAGUGACGGUAAUGGGUAAAGAAGCACCGGCUAACUACGUG
rnacentral:rRNA from 1 species